AGCAAACCCAUAAUCUUGUCAGCAAUCUCUGCCUCUGGCAUGUGUUUACCGGAAGGGUCAGUGGCCACAAUCAUGUGGGAAAGUAUGUCCUGCAUCGGAGCUCCUGUGGCAAUCGCUGCCUUCUUCUCACCAAUUACUGUUUUAAGCUCCUUUCUGAUUGCAGCUGCAGCCCUGCUAGCUCUGUGAAAAAUGGUUCCAGGGAAAUUUACGGGAAUAGAAUGCAUACCCAG
rnacentral:misc_RNA from 1 species